UACGUAGGGUGCGAGCGUUGUCCGGAAUUACUGGGCGUAAAGAGCUCGUAGGUGGUUUGUCGCGUUGUUCGUGAAAACUCACAGCUUAACUGUGGGCGUGCGGGCGAUACGGGCAGACUGGAGUACUGCAGGGGAGACUGGAAUUCCUGGUGUAGCGGUGAAGUGCGCAGAUAUCAGGAGGAACACCGGUGGCGAAGGCGGGUCUCUGGGCCGAUACUGACGCUGAGGAGCGAAAGCGUGGGGAGCGAACAGG
rnacentral:rRNA from 1 species